rnacentral:rRNA from 1 species
GAUGAACGCUGGCGGCGUGCCUAAUACAUGCAAGUCGAGCGAACAGACGAGGAGCUUGCUUCUCUGACGUUAGCGGCGGACGGGUGAGUAACACGUGGAUAACCUACCUAUAAGAAUGGGAUAACUUCGGGAAACAGGAGCUCAUACCGGAUAAUAUAUUGAACCGCAUGGUUCAAUAGUGAAAGUCGGUUUUGCUGUCACUUAUAGAUGGAUCCGCGCCGCAUUAGCUAGUUGGUAAGGUAACGGCUUACCAAGGCAACGAUGCGUAGCCGACCUGAGAGGGUGAUCGGCCACACUGGAACUGAGACACGGUCCAGACUCCUACGGGAGGCAGCAGUAGGGAAUCUUCCGCAAUGGGCGAAAGCCUGACGGAGCAACGCCGCGUGAGUGAUGAAGGUCUUCGGAUCGUAAAACUCUGUUAUUAGGGAAGAACAAAUGUGUAAGUAACUAUGCACGUCUUGACGGUACCUAAUCAGAAAGCCACGGCUAACUACGUG